rnacentral:tRNA from 1 species
UAGUCCUUUAGGGUAGUGGCAAUCCUACGAGACUCUGGAUCUUGUGACAGCGGUUCGACUCCGCUAAGGACUAU